AAGUAAACUCAAUCCUAUCUCUCUCUCUCUCUCUCUAAACUCUCUCUACUCUCUCCUUCUCUCUAGAAUUCUUCGCCGAUCGUUGACAGAAUCGAAAAACAGAAGCUACCAUGAGGAUCGUGAAAGGAUUCUCUACAACUUCUACGGUUCGAAAUCUCGUUUCGGAGAUUUUUGGGUUUUGGCGUAAAAUUGAGGUUUUGAAAUUCGGUUCGCUGUUUAGGGACCUUGGAGUUCAGGAUUUGCUUACGAGGUUGAGGUCCUUCGGGUAACCGAAACUAGCGUCCUGGUGUAGGAAGCGUAGUGGCCGGUGUACUACGUUAGCGCUUGGGUAAGUGUUAGGACUGUAGUUUUGUUGGGUUGCCAUUUUGAGUUGUAUUUGGGUACUCAGUUUGUCUAUUUUGUUAGAGCCAUGUUCUACUCUUGUAUAGACUCUGGUAUGGAACUGCAUAUGUUGAUAUAGAAUAACUUUUUUCGCUGCGUA